AUCGAGUGCACCACAUACAGGCCGGCUCACGUGCCCGGUCCAUCACACGAAAAUCCGAGCGGCGACGGCACGUGAACCUGUGCUGCGGCGGCCGGCGGUCGCCGGCGGGCCCUGGACUGGAGCCUGGAGCCAGGCAUGUACGGAGCCUGGCUCUGGCUCCGCAGAUUCUCGCCAGCGCGAGGGGCGAGGCAGCAAGCGCGCGGUCGAACACCGUAGUCUCGGAGUUUGCUGCGCGCGCCGGCGAGCGAGCGGACGCCGGAGGCCAGGGCAGCAGUCCAGUGACGCGCGCUGCCGAGGUAUCUUCCCAGACAAUGAGCAACCUUGCAUGCUGAGAAAUUGAAGAUUAUCAAAACCAUCAAGUCGGUCGUCCUCGGGCAUGACCUCUCCCCUGAAGUUCUCCGCGAUAAGCAGGGUGGCAAGGUUCCUGCUGCUCUUAAGGAUGUAAAGUGCAUUUGUGAUAUUACUGAAAGAGUUUGAAGUGAUAGGAAGAUGAGAUUUGUGCAGUUGCUCAGAGCAGAUGGCAGCUCCCCUGACAUGUUGUUAUAGUCCAAAUGGAACAUCUCCAAUCUCUUGAGCUGGCCUAUAGAAUCUGGAAUCUUGCCGCGGAAGUUAUUCCCUCCAAGAUCAAGGGUUUGGAGAUUUCUGAGGUUGAUUAUGCACGCACCAUCAAGGGCACCAUGCAAAUCAUUGUUAGGAAAAGCGAGGUGCUCCAAUGAGAUAGCAUUGAAGAGUUCAUCUGGGAGUGUUCCACUGAGGUUGUAGCCUGCUCUGAGCACCGUCAGCAUGGUGCAAUCACCAAGCUCUAGGGGGAUGCUGCCACUGAGUUUAUUGAAAUAGAGCUCAAGAACAGUGAAGGAUGGGGAGCUCUUACAGAAACCAGUUGGCAUCGCCCCAGUAAAGCUGUUGUUGCUGGCAUUGAGUGCUAUCAGAUUCUCCAUGGCCUUCCAUAUGGUGGAUGGAAACGACCCCGUGAAUAAGUUGCUUGAUAUGUUCAGUACCUGCAGAGGUUGGGCAGGGUUUGAAGAUGGCAGGGAAUGCAAUUCUCCAUUGAGCUGGUUAAAGCUGAUGUCAAGAAUGGCGAUGCUUCUGGAUGAUACCAAUUCCAUCGGCAGGCCACCGGACAGUGAAUUGUGGGAGAGGUUAAGGUGCCGCAGCUCAGUUAGGUUCCCAAGGGACCCUGAGAUAGGCCCCUCAAGGCUCUUUGAAGCCAACAGGAUACCAGUGAUCGUCCCAUCUAAACUGCAGACAAUGCCUUCCCACUUGCAGCAAUCCGUGCCAUCCUUCCAUGAGCUGGUGAGGCCACCAUCCUGUGACAGCCCGUCGAGGAACUUGAGAAGGGAGCCCUUCUCGUGCUCUUUGCAGGAGCUGGUUGGAGAGGGCAAGGAGAUAAGUAGCACAAGAGCAAGGCUGAGGGAAGGUAUGUGCAAUUUGUUGCUGUAUGCCUUGUCUGAAAAAUGUAGUCGCUGCAUGGUUUCUGAUGAAACUAGUAUGGAAUUCAGACUCUUAAGGUUGUGCCCUGGCUAGGUAAUGCAUAAGUUGUCUAAUGAACAAAGAGUAUGAGAUGAACAAAGAAGCAGCUCUGCUUCUGUUAUAUGCUUAGAUUGGGUCAAGGAUUCCGUUUGCUGUUGUUUCUGAGGUUCUACUGUUUUCACGAUCUCAUUAUCACGGACCAUUGACUGUGAUUUGUGGUUACCGUGGAAGAUGAAUUUGUGACCACCCUAUCUAGGAUUGGAUAGCAUCUAGCGUGUAAGGACUGGCACUGCAAGGCUACGGUCACUAGAUUAUGAUUGUGUGUCCAAAUGGUCUGUAUAAUAGACUCAAGUUAUCAUUCAGGGAUUGUCAGUUUAGUUGGAUAGCUCUGUAUCUAUCUUUUAUUUUUUUUAAAAGACCAGAGGACCCAACAUCACUGAUUUCCAUCAUAUGCGCAUGGCUUGAUGCUUGGGCAAUCUUCCAGGAAGAGCGAGAUGGGAUCGAUGCACUCUGAACUGAAGGGGUUCGGCAGCUCAAGGCCGAGGUGGUGCAGGAGGUGUACCACCAGGUGCAUGGCUAAGCUCUGGUGAAGUAUCUCUCUCGGAUGGCUAAAUUGACAGAUGCUGGAACCUAGAAGCUCAAUGGUCCUGUUUUGGGGUGUGCUAGUUUUUCUACUACUCUUGUUUAGCUUGUAGCUGUUCAAUGGUUGUAAUUUGCUCCAGCUGUGUGUCUGCGAGGCUGCGAUAUCACAUUUGGCCGUCAACUCUGUUUUAUAUCGUCUUUUUUAAGCUGUUGAACUCUGUACUAUUUUGGCAGUCACUCUUAUGGAAAUCAGUGGUUGCUCUU